CCUACGGGGUGCAGCAGUGAGGAAUAUUGGUCAAUGGACGCAAGUCUGAACCAGCCAUGCCGCGUGCAGGAAGACUGCUCUAUGAGUUGUAAACUGCUUUUGUACGAGGGUAAACGCAGAUACGCGUAUCUGUCUGAAAGUAUCGUACGAAUAAGGAUCGGCUAACUCCGUGCCAGCAGCCGCGGUAAUACGGAGGAUUCAAGCGUUAUCCGGAUUUAUUGGGUUUAAAGGGUGCGUAGGCGGUCGGAUAAGUUAGAGGUGAAAUCCCGAGGCUCAACUUCGGAAUUGCCUUUGAUACUGUUAGGCUAGAGAAUAGUUGCGGUAGGCGGAAUGUAUGGUGUAGCGGUGAAAUGCUUAGAGAUCAUGCAGAACACCGAUUGCGAAGGCAGCUUACCAAGCUACUUCUGACAUUGAGGCACGAAAGCGUGGGUAGCAAACAGGAUUAGAUACCCGUGUAGUC
rnacentral:rRNA from 1 species